rnacentral:rRNA from 1 species
CAAGCAUAUCAAUAAGCGGAGGAAAAGAAACCAACAGGGAUUGCCCCAGUAACGGCGAGUGAAGCGGCAACAGCUCAAAUUUGAAAUCUGGCCCCUCCGGGUCCGAGUUGUAAUUUGUAGAGGAUGCUUUUGGUGAGGUGCCGCCCGAGUUCCCUGGAACGGGACGCCGCAGAGGGUGAGAGCCCCGUCUGGCUGGCCGCCGAGCCUCUGUAAAGCUCCUUCGACGAGUCGAGUAGUUUGGGAAUGCUGCUCAAAAUGGGAGGUAUAUGUCUUCUAAAGCUAAAUACUGGCCAGAGACCGAUAGCGCACAAGUAGAGUGAUCGAAAGAUGAAAAGCACCUUGAAAAGAGGGUUAAAUAGUACGUGAAAUUGUUGAAAGGGAAGCGCUUGUGACCAGACUCGGGCGCGGCGGAUCAUCCGGGGUUCUCCCCGGUGCACUUCGCCGCGUCCGGGCCAGCAUCAGUUCGCCGCGGGGGACAAAGGCUUCGGGAACGUGGCUCCCCCGGGAGUGUUAUAGCCCGCUGCACAAUACCCUGCGGUGGACUGAGGACCGCGCGUAAGCAAGGAUGCUGGCGUAAUGGUCACCAGCGACCCGUCUUGAAACACGGACCAAGGAGUCGUCUUCGUAUGCGAGUGUUCGGGUGUCAAACCCCUACGCGUAAUGAAAGUGAACGCAGGUGAGAGCUUCGGCGCAUCAUCGACCGAUCCUGAUGUUCUCGGAUGGAUUUGAGUAAGAGCAUACGGGGCCGGACCCGAAAGAAGGUGAACUAUGCCUGUAUAGGGUGAAGCCAGAGGAAACUCUGGUGGAGGCUCGCAGCGGUUCUGACGUGCAAAUCGAUCGUCAAAUAUGGGCAUGGGGGCGACAGACUAAUCGAACCUUCUAGUAGCUGGUUUCCGCCGAA